rnacentral:rRNA from 1 species
GGAAGUAAAAGUCGUAACAAGGUCUCCGUUGGUGAACCAGCGGAGGGAUCAUUAUCGAGUUUUUAACUCUUAAACCAUAUGUGAACGUACCUUUUCUAGCUGCUUUGGCAGGUGCCUCUCGGGGCUUCUGCCGGUAGCAUUUAUAAACUCUUUAUAUUUCUAUAGAAUUAUUCAUUGCUGAGUGGCAUUAACUAAAUAAGUUAAAACUUUCAACAACGGAUCUCUUGGCUCUAGCAUCGAUGAAGAACGCAGCGAAAUGCGAUAAGUAAUGUGAAUUGCAGAAUUCAGUGAAUCAUCGAAUCUUUGAACGCACAUUGCGCCUGGCAGUAUUCUGCCAGGCAUGCCUGUCCGAGCGUCAUUUCACCACUCAAGCUCUGCUUGGUGUUGGAGGACCCGCGUUUAGUCGCGGGCCGCCGAAAUGCAUCGGCUGUUGUAUAUACAGCUUCCCUGUGUAGUAAAUGCUUAGCUUUACACUUUGAAACUUUUAUAUAACAUGCCGAAAAACCCUCAACUUUUGAAAGGUUGACCUCGGAUCAGGUAGGAAUACCCGCUGAACUUAAGCAUAUCAAUAAGCGGAGG